CAAACAUUCAUUUCUGACCGUUGGAUUACACUUUAAUCAAAUGGACCACAUAUCAUCUGUUUUUCUUCUCUCCUCUUGAUCUCUCAUCUUAAUCUCUCAAUCUCUCUAUAGCUUCUCUCAAUCUCUGGACGAAAUUGGAGGCUUGGGUGGAAGAAGGACAAAAACAAAGUUAAUGGCUUGGAGGAAAACGACGACAGUGAAGUGCAGGAGCAGCAGCAAAGGUGGAGGCACAGCAUACUCGUCUCGGUUGAGCUCUCUGUUGGCUUCACCUACUCACCACCAUCAAAGAUCUGAGAAGCAGUAGUGAUGAAACAGGAAAGAUAAGUAUUGUCGCAAAUUUACAACGAACCAGUAUCCGUCGCAAAUUUGCAACGAACCAGUUUCCAUCGCAAAUUUGCAACGAACAUUUUUUAUUUGCGAGUAAAAAUUUGGGAGAAAUAUAUUUUCUUCGUAAUUCCCUUGCAAAUUGCGAUUUGCAACGGAAUUGCGAGGAUUUUUUCCCUUGCAACAUACAUGUUUUUUUAUAGUGAUAAGAAUCUUUAUUUUUUCACGAAUCAUCGAUGAAACACCAUUUUUCUUGAGUUACUGGAAAGUUCAUGAACUCUAUUUGUUGUACUGCCGCUGUAAGUUUAGCUCUUGUGUCUCAACCCAAAAUAUAGAUUCUGUUUCUACUAAUUUGAGCGUAUUUCUAGGAUCAAUGUCCGAAUUACUAAAUAUUUUGUUAUUUUUCUUUUCCAAGUGUACCAUAAAAUCUAGGGCUUUUUGCAAAAUUGACUCAAAACUCAAAGUCAAACACAAAACUAACCUCUCCUUUUUUUAUCUUUCUUUUGUCCUAUUCACCCUACAUGUUCACAUUAUUUACGAAAAUGCCAUUAACUUCUUUUUUUUUAUGUUUUUUCAAAAUGACAAUUUUACUCUCUCAACCUCAUCAUCUUCAAGUAUUUACAAGAUUGCCAUCGCUUUCAAUACCCCAACUACCAUGAACAAUCAAUUUGAAGCUCUUAAUGCACCUGAAAUCGAUUUACUGUCUCUCUCUCUAUUGUUAUAUACUGAAAACAACAUUUCUUUCACUUUGUCUCCAUAUUCAUCCAAAAAACUCAAACUUUUGAUUUUAAUUUUUUUUGGUUGAUAGAGACAUUCAAACUUACUAUUCUUGGUGGGUUACUUUCGUUUAAGGUUCUGGGUGUUUGGAGAAGACUUCUGUGUGGUAAGGAAGUCAUCUCACUAAUUUAAUAUAUGAAAUUGAAAAUUUUUCCAGAUCUGUCCGCGUAGAAGACUUACCUGUAAGUCGUCUGGCUGUAGAAGACUUAUGGUUAACUCUUCUGGACAAAGAGACGACUUACUUGUAAGUCGUUCAUCUUUCUUUGUUUAGAAAAAAAACUCGAGAAUAUCCUAGAGAAUGUACUAGUAAGUCGUCUUGGAUAAACGGGUUACUAUUGCAUUUGACCGAAUUGUGUUAGAUAUUUGACUUUUCCCAGACGACUUACUAGUAAAUCGUCUCUGGGGAAACCAAAAAAAUAAAUAUUUUAUUAAAGCUAGACGACUUACUUGUAAGUCAUCUUAGGUUAGUUUUGCAAUUGGAAAAAAACUUAAAUAUUUAUUUUCUUGCAGACAACUUACUUGAAGGUCGUCCAGUCAUAAGACUUACUUAAAGGUCGUCCAGGAUAAGUAAAUUCGUCCAGGAUAGGUAAAGUCGUCCAGAUUUUAUUCUGAGAUUCUGGUCAAACCUUGCUUAUCUCAGACGACUUCCGUGUAAGUCGUCUAUCUGGACGACUUCCGUUUAAAUCGUCUGGGAAAAAAUAAAAAUUUCAGUUUUAUUUUCGAAUUUUAAACUAUUGAGUUUUUUGUUUUCUCAGGGACGACUUACUAGUAAGUCGUCCAAGAAAAGUCAAAUUUCUGACACAAUUCGGUCAAAUACAAAAGUAACCCGUUUAUCCGAGAAGACUUACAAGUAAGUCGUCUGGUGUUUUUUUUUAACAAACAAAACUGGACGACUUACUUGUAAGUCGCCCAACUUAAAGUCAAUUGCAAAAAUGACCUCUUCGGACGACUUACUUGUAAGUCGUCUAAGUAUUCCAGACGACUUACCAGUAAGUCAUCUGCGUUAAUGUUUAGUAAACUUUCAUUUUCUCCAAAACUAGAAAGACUUUUUAACAUUUUCUUAUUAAUUCAUGUAUAUUAAUCAAUAUUGAAGCUACUAAAUUAAAUUUAUAACAUAAUUGGUGAUAUUUAAGAGUUUACCGACAUCACUUCAUGUUAAUCAAAGUUUCAAGCUAAUGUGUUUUUAUUUUUGAUUUUUGGCAGAUGAUACGUCGGUUACCUGCAGUGUAUGGAGAAUGGUUGUGGAAAGAUGGCUGUUGGGAUUUUGUGGUUGAUGAUUCCAAAGGAGCGAGAAUGUUUUUUUUUGAGUGAAGGUUCGACACAUGCUGAACUUGUUGCAAUGGCUGAAGAGAUUUUAACUUGGAUAUGAGCAUAGAGUUUGUGGAGAUAAGUUACUCAGUACCAGAAGCAAUGAUGCAAGAUAUGGCUCCAGAUACCCCUCCUAUUCAUGUUUCCAGUGAUAGACAAGUUGGAUACUUGCUCGAGAUAACCAAAACGCACGGAGUACGGCUUUGUGUAUCAAGCCGUAGCAAGAUGAGAACGGUUAGGAAAGGGAAAAAGUUAAUGAAGCUGGUGGAGAGGAGGAUGAUAGCGAGGAGGAUGAUGGGGAGGAGCAGGAUGAGGAGGAGGAUGAUGGGGAAGAGGAUGAUGGAGAGGAGGAUGCUGAUAUAUGUGAUGUUGCUGAAGCGGUCGAGGAUGGUGAGAAUUACAGUGUUUAUGGAAAGGUCAAAGAUGAGGACUCAUAAAAAGAUGAAUGUGUUUUGAAGAUUUCAAAAAAACAUAUGCUAUUGAAGGAGAAAGAUUUCAAAGAGACAAGUUACAUGUCAACCAGAGUUUCGUUAGGAAGAAUGCAUUGGUUUCGGAACUGCGGUUGACAGCAGUAAGACGUGGAUUCACCUUCAGAUUAUACAAGUCAUCGAAAUAAGAAUUGGUAUAAUUUAUAUACUUUUAAGGAUGUUGUUUUGUAUAUGGUUACUUCCUACUAUUUUUUAUUUGUUUAUCGGUUUUUUCUUAAAAACUUUGUACAUUUUUCACGACAUUAAUAGGAUCCAAAUAUUACUAAAAGUAAA